UACGAAGGGGGCUAGCGUUGCUCGGAAUCACUGGGCGUAAAGGGUGCGUAGGCGGGUCUUUAAGUCAGGGGUGAAAUCCUGGAGCUCAACCCCAGAACUGCCUUUGAUACUGAAGAUCUUGAGUUCGGGAGAGGUGAGUGGAACUGCGAGUGUAGAGGUGAAAUUCGUAGAUAUUCGCAAGAACACCAGUGGCGAAGGCGGCUCACUGGGCCGAUACUGACGCUGAGGAGCGAAAGCGUGGGGAGCAAACAGG
rnacentral:rRNA from 1 species